rnacentral:tRNA from 1 species
AAGGAGUUAGUUAAAAAAUAACGUUAGAAUGUCAAUCUAAAAUAACUAUUAAAUAGUACACCUUG